GACAGAGGGGGCAAGCGUUGCUCGGAAUUACUGGGCGUAAAGGGCGCGUAGGCGGGAUGGCAAGUCGGUCGUGAAAUCCCUCGGCUCAACUGAGGAUCGUCGAUCGAUACUGCCGUUCUUGAGGAUUGCAGAGGAGACUGGAAUUCCCGGUGUAGCGGUGAAAUGCGCAGAUAUCAGGAAGAACACCCGUGGCGAAGGCGGCUCUCUGGGACGGUACUGGACGCUGAGACGCGAAAGCGUGGGGAGCGAACAGG
rnacentral:rRNA from 1 species